GGAGCAUACCCAUUUGAAGAUCAAGAGGACCCAAAGAAUUUCAGAAAAACUAUCAAUAGAAUAAUGGCUGUUCAAUACAAGAUCCCUGACUAUGUGCACAUUUCUCAAGAUUGCAGACAUCUCCUUUCUCGCAUAUUUGUUGCAAAUCCAUCCAGGAGGAUCACAAUUAAAGAAAUCAGGAACGAUCCAUGGUUUUUGAAGAAUUUGCCUAGGGAACUGACAGAGGCUGCUCAAGCCAUGUACUACAGGAGAGGAAAUAAUACCUUUUCCUUGCAAACUGAUGAAGAAAUCAUGAAGAUUGUGGAAG
rnacentral:misc_RNA from 1 species